AUGGCGUUGCCCGGUCACCAUGGCCGUGUGGGCGGCGUGGUUGCCGGGAUGUGGCGUUCGGUGGCGGUGAGUGGUGGCCGAGGUGAAAACCUGUUCUAUCUUCGGACGGACCGGCGGCGGCGAAGAUCGUUCCCUUCUUGAAGGCGUCGUCGCGGCUCUCAUUGCCCGUCAUGCGGCUCCAGGGGAAACUCUGAUCCUUGGAUCGGGCGGUGGCGGCGCUCCGGUGUCGUACCCUUCCUGAAGGCGCCGCCUUGGAGCCCAUGGUUCGUCAUAU
rnacentral:rRNA from 1 species